AGAGUUUGAUCAUGGCUCAGAAUCAACGCUGGCGGCGCGCUUAACACAUGCAAGUCGCACGAGAAAGUGGGAAACCAUGAGUACAGUGGCGUACGGGUGAGUAACACGUGGGUAAUCUACCUCUGAGUGGGGAAUAACCCUGGGAAACCGGGGCUAAUACCGCAUAAUCUCGAGAGAGGAAAGCAGCAAUGCGCUGAGAGAGGAGCCCGCGGCCGAUUAGCUAGUUGGUAGGGUAAGAGCCUACCAAGGCAGAGAUCGGUAGCCGGCCUGAGAGGGCACACGGCCACACUGGCACUGAAACACGGGCCAGACUCCUACGGGAGGCAGCAGUGGGGAAUCUUGCACAAUGGGGGAAACCCUGAUGCAGCGACGCCGCGUGAGCGAUGAAGCCCUUCGGGGUGUAAAGCUCUUUCGUCAGGGAAGAUCAUGACGGUACCUGGAGAAGCAGCUGCGGCUAACUACGUGCCAGCAGCCGCGGUAAUACGUAGGCAGCGAGCGUUGUUCGGAGUUACUGGGCGUAAAGGGUGUGUAGGCGGUUCUUUAAGUUUGGUGUGAAAUCUCCCGGCUCAACCGGGAGGGUGCGCCGAAUACUGAGGGACUUGGAGUGCGGGAGAGGAAAGUGGAAUUCCUGGUGUAGCGGUGAAAUGCGUAGAUAUCAGGAGGAACACCGGUGGUGUAGACGGCUUUCUGGACCGUAACUGACGCUGAGACACGAAAGCGUGGGUAGCAAACAGGAUUAGAUACCCUGGUAGUCCACGCCCUAAACGAUGCAUAUUUGGUGUGGGUCAUUCAGUUGAUCCGUGCCGGAGCUAACGCGUUAAAUAUGCCGCCUGGGGAGUACAGUCGCAAGGCUGAACUCAAAGGAAUUGACGGGGCCCGCACAGCGGUGGAGCAUGUGGUUCAAUUCGACGCAACGCGAAGAACCUUACCUGGGCUCGAACGGCUGGUCAACGGAGGUGGAAACAUCUUUAC
rnacentral:rRNA from 1 species